rnacentral:lncRNA from 1 species
AUUUCCAUUGGCAUCACCAUAGCCACUCCCCAUGUAGCCACCACCUGUCCCCUGUUCUCCGCUAGCACUACCACCAGAACUAGGUGCACUUCCAGCACGGCCACCAGCAGCCCCAUAUCCCCCAGAAUAAGAACCAUCACUCCCACCAUAGUUACCAUAUCCAAAACCUUGACUUCCAUAUCCAGAAGCGCCACUUGGAGAUUGACCCAUUGGUCCAGAAACACCAGCACCACCCGGAGCAUUCCAAGGACCUGUAGCUCCAUAGGCUGCAUUUGAACCAUAGCCUGAAGCACCAUAUCCAGAAGGAGUUUGGUUGUUCCAUUGGCUUUUCAUAGCACCAGGUGGGCCACUUACAUAACCAGCAUUAGGAGCAUUCGGGUUUCCAUACGCCCCAGCAGGACCGCCAAAUCCAGUAUUGGCACUUCCAUAACCACCAACACCAUAACUCCCAUAACCACCAUAACCAACAGCACUAUUUGCUGCUCCAUAGCCAUAACCUGGUGCACCAUAGCCAGAAUAUGGUGGGAAACCACCACCAGUGGUCUGAGGUGGCAUGAAUCUA